ensembl:miRNA
CCAGCUUGGAAGGCCAUCCUCCCUGAGGGAUCCUGUACUGAGCUGCCCUGAGGUCCUUGCUUGUGCCCAGCUCGGGGCAGCUUAGUACAGGAUGCAUCGGGGUGGGAGUGAACGGGCAGCGAG